GAUGAACGCUGGCGGCGUGCCUAAUACAUGCAAGUCGAGCGAACAGAUAAGGAGCUUGCUCCUUUGACGUUAGCGGCGGACGGGUGAGUAACACGUGGGUAACCUACCUAUAAGACUGGGAUAACUCCGGGGAAACAGGGCUUAUUCCCGAUAAUCUUUUGCACCGGCUUGUUCCAAAGUUGAAGAAGGUUUUUGUUAUCCUUAAAGCCUGCCCCGGCGCCUAUUAGCUAGUUGGUAAGGUAACGGCUUACCCAGGCAACGAUUCGUAGCCGACCUGAGCGGGAGAUCGGACACACUGGAACUGAGACACGGUCCAGACACCUACGGGAGGCAGCAGUAGGGAAUCUUACGCGAUGGGCGAAAGCCUGACGGAGCAACGCCGCGUGAGUGAUGAAGGUCUUAGGAUCGGAAAACUCUGUUAGUAGGGAAGAAGAAAUGUGUAAGUAACUGUGCAGAUAUUGACGGUACCUAGUCAGAAAGCCACGGCUAACUACGUG
rnacentral:rRNA from 1 species